rnacentral:tRNA from 1 species
UGCAGAGUAGCUCAGUCGGUAGAGUAUUGUAGGCAGUAAAAUCCCUACUGUUGUCGGUGGUUCGAAUCCAUCCUCUUGU